UGGGGAAUAUUGCACAAUGGGCGCAAGCCUGAUGCAGCCAUGCCGCGUGUAUGAAGAAGGCCUUCGGGUUGUAAAGUACUUUCAGCGGGGAGGAAGUGAGUAAAGUUAAUACCUUUGCUCAUUGACGUUACCCGCAGAAGAAGCACCGGCUAACUCCGUGCCAGCAGCCGCGGUAAUACGGAGGGUGCAAGCGUUAAUCGGAAUUACUGGGGGUAAAGCGCACGCAGGCGGUUUGUUAAGUCAGAUGUGAAAUCCCCGGGCUCAACCUUGGAACUGCAUCUGAUACUGGCAAGCUUGAGUCUCGUAGAGGGGGGUAGAAUUCCAGGUGUAGCGGUGAAAUGCGUAGAGAUCUGGAGGAAUACCGGUGGCGAAGGCGGCCCCCUGGACGAAGACUGACGCUCAGGUGCGAAAGCGUGGGGAGCAAACAGG
rnacentral:rRNA from 1 species